UAACCUUCUUUCUCUACUGUUCUUCAUAUAUACAUAACUAAGUGCCUGGAAAUGAACAAAAAAUGUUGGAAAUUCACAUACAUGGCCAAAAAUAAUGGAAGAAAACACAGAUAUUUAAUAGAUUAACUUUUAUCUUCAAUAGAUUUUCUUGGGUGAGUGUAAGAGGCAGUAAAUACUUACAAUCAUCUUUUUCACAGAAUGUAUUUAAUGUAAUUACAAUAUCUAAAGAAAUAAAGUGAGAUAUUUGAGGGGCCUAAUUUACCUUCUUGACUUUAAUGGAAAUAGGAAAUGAAUGGGUUUUUUUAUUGUUUUAUUUUGGAAUAAUUCAUACUGACAAGUGUAUGCAUUUGUAAGCACUGUCUAGGUGAUUUGUAUAUGUUCCUGUUAACCAGGUUAACAAGUAGAAUAUAACCAGUGCCUUAGACACACUUACUUAGGCUUUUCCUAAUUACGUCUCUCUCCCACUCCCAGAGGCAACUAGCAAGCUACCAUCAAUGAUUUUUUGCCUUUCUUUCUAAUAUAUGUUCAAUGUAGUCAUACCUACAAAAUGCACUGUUUUGUGGUGAAAGGCUGAGUAUCAAUCGCAAGUUUAGCUUUGUAAGGAAAGGACGAAUAACUACACCUAAGAGAAUAAACUAAAGAAAGUGUAUGGAUCACAGUCUGACUUGAGAUUUCCCUGAGAAUUUAUUUUUUUCAUACUUUUUCCUUUUUAAUUAUUAAUAUUUUUUAAUAGUUAUUUCCCUGAUACAAUUUUUUUCUACUGUACAGCAUGGUGACCCUGUUACACUUACAUGUACACAUUCUAUUUUCACACAUUAUCAUGCUCCAUCAUAAGUGACUAGGCAUCGUUCCCAGUGCUACACAGCAGGAUCUCAUUGCUAAUCCAUUCCAAGGGCAAUAGUUUAUAUCUAUUAACCCUAAGCUCCCAGUCCACCCCACUCCCUCCCCCUCCCCCUAGGCAGCCAUAAGUCUAUUCUGCAAGUACAUGAUUUUCUUUUCUGUGGAAAAGUUCAUUUGUGCCUUAUAUUAGAUUCCAGAUAUGAGUGAUAUCAUAUGGUAUUUGUCUUUCUCUUUCUGACUUACUUCACUCAGUAUGAGAGUCUCUAGUUCCAUCCAUGUUGCUGCAAAUGGCAUUAACUUGUUCUUUUUUAUGGCUGAGUAGUAUUCCAUUGUGUAUAAUUUGUAAAAGCCCCUCCCUUCUGGGAAACUUCAUGGUCAAUGUUAUAGAGGAGUCUGGUGAAAAGUAUGCCUCGGCACCAUGGAAACAUUUAUUAGGGCUGUAGUGCCAGCAAAACCGCUGUACAUCCAAUCCUAACAAGCUCAGGCAGGGGAGGCUUCUCUGUCUGUUUCGCCUCUCAGUUUACCUUGGCACACACAAAAUCUUAGGAGGAGGGCAUCAUAGAAUGCUUUCUUGGAUUAAAGAAAUAUUUUCAGUUGAUCCAGGUUUUGGGGGGAUUGAAGGACACAACCUUUAUUGCCACAUUGUCCAGACUAAUGCUCUCAGUUUAAAGAUGGCACAAGGACUGGGGGUGUCUUGUUAUGACAGCCCCCAACAUAACUUUCUUGAACAUAAUUUGCAUCCUAAAUUUAUUAUCCUCCUCCCUCCGUAUUGGUUUUUUCCCUCUCAAUUUAUCCUUUUUCUCUUUCAGGAAAUGUUCUUAUUCAGAUGUUGGAUAGCUAGAUAAGCCCUAUAUUUUCUUAAACUUUCUGUACGAUUUAAAAAAAAAGCUCUUUGCAUUUUGCUCUACUCUCUGAGACACUUCCUAAAAUUUUACUAACACCUCCUUCCAUUUUUUGCUUUUUGGGUGUUCAUUCAAGUUGGCCAAAUGAGUUUCCAAAAACAUAUUUUCUUCUUUUUUAAAAAAAUAAAAUUCCAUUUUUAAUUUCAUUGACAUGUAUUUCUGCUCACUUUUCCGUGGAUAUUGAAUCCUGGAAGGAUAAAGUUCUGUUGGCUUUUUCUGGGAGCUCACUGGGAACAGAGGACCAGAAGCCCCAGAAUUCAGUACAGCAUCAUGGUCAAGCUCUUCUCACCACCCAGUGCACCAGCACAGGCGGGGGAAGCGCCCUCUGCUGGAGUGUGUAUGGGCCAGGGCGUCUAGGCCCCUAACUCCUUUCAAUCAUUUUCCAAACAUUUAUAUUUGUCGUAGACCCAACUUUACUUCCAUUUUUGGAUGAUUCUGAAACUGGUAUUUCCUCGGACUUUGAGGAUCCUCUGAUCAAUUUGGUCUGGUUUUCAUUUUUAUUGAAUUUGAGCUUUGGAUAUAGCUUUCUUAGAUCUAUUAAAUAAAGUACAUUAAUCCUGCAUUCUUCUUUCCAGAAUUGUAUUAUUGUUGUCUGUUCUUCUGUUAUCCUCCUCCUUUUAUGUUUUAUCUUUAAAAACAUUUUAUUUAUUGUAAUUUUACAAUGAGGAUUUAAAUCAGAUGCCCAUGUUUAAAAUCCUAAUCUGGAAAAACUGUAAGUGCCUCCAUUUAAAAAACUGUAUUCAAUGUCUUGUAAAAACCUAUAAUGGAAAAGAAUCUGAAAGAAUAUAUAUAUCUGUCUCUAUAUAAUAUAUAUAACUGAGUAACUUUGCUGUACACCUGAAACUAACAUAAAUCAACUGUAUUAAUAUGAAUCAACUAUAUUUCAACAACAAAAAUAUGUAGAAAUGAAGAAUUUCUAAUCUGUUUUUCUCUGUGAAGUGUAUUUUCAUGGUUGAUAUAGAUAAGAUAGAUAUUAAUGUACUCUAUUGACUUUUUUUUUAAAUUCAAGAAAAGCUGAACAGAUUCUAAACAUAUGCUGCUUAUGAGCAGAUUCUUAGUAAGAACCGUGCUUCUCUCUUUUUGUAAUGCCUUUAAGAGCCUAAUAAAUAUUAUGCCAGACUUUGCUUACCAGGUCAUUAGUUUCUUCACAAGGCUGUCAAUUCCUACUAGUAGAAUUAUUUCAAGAAUGAAAUACUCGAUUCCUACAAGGCCAUAAAAGGACCACUGGUCAAGAAAAAAGAAAAUAGCAGGUUUUCCUCACAUUAACAACAUCAUGAUAUUAAAUUUUGCUGGCCUUCAGUAUUCUCAAAUUUGGAGCAAUGUAACUCUGGACACUACCUCUAAUACCCUCAAUGACGGAGAAAUCCGAGGGCAUUUUUCUGCAGUUUGAGGACAGCUAAUGUGCUGAAAAACUGUUGCGAGAAAUCAAGAUAAUGUAAUCAUAACAGUAGUAUAAUAAUAAUGAUAAUGAUAGUGAUAACCAUACUUUCAACACAAGAUGGAAAUCACGAUCCUAUGAGAAAUUUAAAGUGACUGAGAUUUUCAAUCUACUUGCAGACGAAGAAGUUAGCCUGCCGCCGUUACGUGGAUGUUGGCAGGAAAAAAAAAAAAAUUCCUGGGGUAGAAACAAAGGAUUUUAUUACUAACAGCAACAGAAGUAGCCAGAGUAAUAGAGUUUUCUUGUACACGUUUGUCAAACUUAAUUCUCACGAUGCAGCAUGGAAAGGGCAGUUAACACCUGCAUGUGCAAUGGUUUAUAUUACAGGAGAGGAAUCCUGACCCCAGAUAUUUUUUCAAAUGACAUCAUAAAAGACGUGACCUUUUUUUUCCCAAAAGGAAUUAUUACUGUUAUUAAACCGGGCAAUAAGCAUACCUGUCCUUUGCACCAGAGGGGGACAGUACAUCCCUAGAGCUAUAAACAGACCUCUCCUUUGCUCUCAAGUGAGGCAUUAUUUCUUCCUUCCGAGAUGCUUUGCUAUACAAAUAUUCUUGAAAUGGGAAACAGAGCAGUGGCUUGCCUUGCUCACAAGAACUGCAGAAAUGUGAGAGAGACCGAUGGAGAAUUUUCUGCCAACAUGUCUUAACUUACUUUGCAAGGGCUAAUUCCAUUCUCUCCUCUCAGUCUUGCUCUAUCUUGCCCUCCUCUCCCUCUCUCUCUCUCCUAUUUCAGUCUAUCUCUACUUUUCUCUCUCUCUUUGCUGGACUUAACUUUAAGUCUUCAAAUUUUCUUAAACACAUGUACAAGGAAAGUUUCUGUUAUAUAUUUUUAUACUACAUUAGCAUAUUACUAUGGAAUCAGGAGAGAAUGAUUUUAUGAAAGAAUGAAUUUAGAUGUCACUUUAUAUUUUUAAAGCUCAUAAUCCCUUUUGGGUUAGUAUAUUUUUUUGCAUAUUCUGGAAUUUAUUGGGUAAAGAAGAUUAAUGGUAUCUUCCUGUGCUCCUCUGUACAUUACAAUUUAGAAUUACUUUCUAAAGCUAUUAUAUGAAAAUUAAUCACGUCAUAACAAGACAUACUGUAUUCAUUGCAUCAACAGAGCAAUAUUUCUGAUAUAAUACAGAAGAUCUUAUUUCAUCAAAUUCCUGUGCUCAUAACAAAUUUUGAUGACAUAAUUUUGUUCUUCAAGGUAAAUAUUUUGGAAAAGCAGGUUGAAAAAUAUCUACAUUACAAAAAGUUAUUUUUAAGCAAUGAUUUUUAAGAUUUCUCUUCAAACUCAGCACCUCAUCAAAGUAAUAUUUCUUCCGAUUGUCACUAUUUCUACCUAAUUUACCUUGAACAUCCACACACUAAUCUUAUAGUGAAAAUGUCAAAACUGACAAAAAUGUAUGACAAAAUUAAUAUUAGCCAAAUUUACUCUUGAAAGUCAUUGUGUCUCCAACCCUUCAUCUCUGCAAAACUUCUGCAUUUAAUAUGCUUUUAGCUCAUCUAUGCCUAGUGAAAUCCUACAGAUAUUUCAAGAUGCAGUUUGAAUGCCUCCCCCAGGAGGAAUUGCCUAUUUCAUUCUGUUAGAAUUAAUCACUUUUUCCUAUUUUUUCCAUCACAGAACACGGCUGACAUCUCUUAGGUCACAUCCACACUUUGCUCUAUCACUUUUCUACUUUUAUUUUCUUCUCUACCAAAAUCACCCGUGGGAACCCUAAGAUUGGUGUGGCAUAGGAAACUGUGUAAAAACAUGGGACUGCUCUUCCCAAUAGGAUCACUGGCUUGGCCAAUAAAUUGGUAUCUAUUGUAAAAUGGACAUUGAUGAUCAUAAUAAGAGUGGCAUGAUUGUUAUUUGAGAACAAUGCUUAGGGAGAAUUUCCCUAUGUUAUUUCUUCCAGGUAGUUACAGUCUGGUUGGGAGAUAAAAAUAUAUAGAAGCAUUGAAUAAAAUAAAUACCAGAAGGGCAAAAAUACUGAUAUAAAGAAAGAGAAUAAAAUAAUCAUUGCCUUCCACAAAGUUAAAUUUUAAAAAAUUGUUUUAUGUUAAUAAAAAUGUUUGAGAAAUUAAAAAAUGCUACACUUUCAUUUUUAUGAAGGUCUGAUUAAUAUUUCGUAAAAGAUUGUUAAUUUAUGCUAAUAUCCUGUUCUUCAUCUAACAUCUUUCCAACAUCCUUAGAAUCCAGUGAUGACUUCCAUAUUUAUCCGUUACCAGCAAAUGUAAUGAUACAGUUGCCAUCAUAUUGUUUCUACUUGUAUCAGUUGGUUUUCCUGAAAAGCUUCUGUUUAGGAGCUUUUCUCUCUCAAACACACACACACAAACACACACACUUAUACACAUAUCUUUAGUUUUAUGUAGCCCUACUUUAUUCAGUGGGUUGUUGUCUGAUACCAUCAUUAUUUUUUUGGUGCUGAAAUUGUCCUCAAAUUAGUCAGUAGGAGGCCCUUCAAGCCCAUUUUUGUCUUCUUUUCACAGCAAUUCUUAGAACACAGCUACCAUGAUAACAAAAAUUGGCUAUACAUACACAUAUACACGCACAUAUUUUUAUUUCCAUGCGUGUAUGUAUAAAUAAAAUUCAUGAGUUCAUACUAAUCUUUCCAAUACUUCCAAUUUCAUUCCAAUAAUUUGUAUUCUUUUCAUCUAUUUGCCUUUCCAUAAUAAUGAAUCCCUCCAUAGUCACCAGGAAGCUUGACUUCCACAAUUGCCAAUGUACUUACUUCUUUACCCAAUAGCUCUCAGUUCACAACCAUUUUGGCCCUCUCCUUUGCUCUCUCCAUCACAGGCCCCAUCUGUGCCUGAUUCCUGAGCCUGCUUUGAUGGCUACAGGGCAUUGCCUCUAAAACCUCCACAGCACACCUUCCUUCUUAGCAUUCAAAUUUCUCAGGCCCUGUGACAUUGUGCUGAGACUUUUAAGUGAUUAAUAAGCUGGUCCAAUGUUCUGUUGUUUCAAGUAGAACUGCUGAGAUCUGGAAAGAUCUGGAAGUAUCUCUUGGACUCAGAGAGACUGCUUCAGUGCAACAUUGUAUGGCAGUUUGUUUCAGUUCAAUAAACAUUUAUCAAAAAAAUAAAGCCCUCUGCUGGACUUUCAGGCUGAUAUCAUCUCAACUGUCACCCCCAAGAGUGCAAGAGAAGGUGGGAAGGGAAGAGAGAAUGUUAAAAAAAAGAAGGAAAAGGAAGAUAGAAAGAUAAGGAAACAUAGGGGACAUUUAUGACGUAUUUAUAGCUAGAAGAACACCUUGACAAUGUCUUAAAGAAAGCAAAUAUAUUUACCUGUCAGUUUUGAAGAUACAGAUAUAUAUGAAAAUAUAAAUAUUUCAUAUAUAACAUAUAUAUGAAAAUGCAGAAGCAAUAAAAAGAGGUAGGAUGUGCAUUAAAGUCUGAAAAAUCAUAGAACACAUGUAAUUGUACUGCGUAUGCUUUUUUAAAGACCCUGGGAAGCCUAAAAUAUAAUGUAUAGACUUACUGACAUACCAGGCAACCACCAGACCUAAGACCUAAUUGUUUACAUCAAGGGAUCAUAAUAUCUUAAUAAAAUAUAGAUAUUUUUAGUAAUUAUUUAAAUUAAGUAUUAUAAACUUUGUAAAACAAGCAAACUCUUUGUUACUCAUACACUUAUUUAUGCUUUUUCUUUUCCCUAUCUUUUUUAGGGCUGCACUUGUGGCAUAUGGAAGUUCCCAGGCCAGGGGUUGAAUCAGAGCUGUAGCCGCCAUCCUACACCACAGCCAAAGCAACACCAGAUUCACAUCCUGUUCGUGACCUACACCACAGCUUAACAGCAACACCAGAUCCUUAACCCACUGAGCGAGGCCAAGGAUCGAACUUGCGUCCUCAUGGAUACUAGUCAGAUUUGUUUCCUCUGAGCCAUGACGGGAACUCCUAUUUAUGCUUGAUUGAUAUAACUUCCUUGAAUUUUCAAGAUCUUGGUUAAGCAUAAACCAGUGUGUAUGUCCAUAUAUAUAUGUGCUUGAGGAUAACAAUACUCCUACUUAAAUAAGUGAAAUCCUAAGCAUUUAUCUCAAAACGGCAUUGAGAUCAAGUACACAUUUCAUUAUAACUUGAAUUUUUUCAUUUAGCCGGUUAUAACUUUAAAGUUAAAAAUAACAUGUAAUAUUAGUUUUCAUGUCUUCUCAAAAUGUAUGAGCUAUAGUGAAAAAUUAAACUCUGAGAUGAGGGGAUUUGAAAAGGAAGAGAAAGCACUUUCUUGAAAAGAUUAAUAUUCAUUUAUACAAACCAUCUGAGAUCCCAGCAAUAUUCUCAAAUUACUCUCCACAGAUGCCAGAAGAAAGUGAUAUUAUUUUAAGGACAUUAAAAAAAAUCUUUACUUUUCAUAGUUAGAAUACUCUGAGUUUCUGUUCCCUAGAGAAAUUCAUUGUACUCAGUAGUUUGGUAGCAUUAGAGGCAAUACUAGCCCAGAACAUAAGAGUCACUGAUAUUAAUAAACACUACCUGCUAGGUAUGGUUCUGAGCAGCCUACAUGACUACUGCAUUCUAUCCUCCUGACAACAUUUUGAAGUAGAUAUUAUUUUUGCCCCCAUUUUACAGAUAAGACAAUUUAAGAGGAGCAGGACUUAAACUGGGCUUUUCCAACUUCAUAUUGUUAGUAAAUGAACGAAGUCUUAUUUCAAACCCAUUAAAUAAGAUCAAGAACCCUCUCUGCCAUUUUCCCCAUCUCCCUAUCAUAGGGGCAUCUUAGUUCUUUAAAAUACACUUAUGCUCCAUUUUAUACAAUAGAUACUUUUAAAAUAUUGAAAAAAUCAAAUUUGGAACAAAUUAAUUGUCUUUUUCAUGUGCCAAGAAUGCAGAAUAGUCAAAUAAAGCAACGAUUAAGUCUUUCUGAAAAGGAUGACUUUUUUCUUUAUGAUUUAUGCUUUGAUAUUUCUUGUCAAAAUAUAGACAAUUUAUUUAAAAUAAGACACAUCAAAGGAAAUGAUACAUAUAAUGGACUAGUCGCAUCCAUAAUAACUAGCACUCAGAGCCUUCACUGCUUUAGGAGAAAAUAAAAAGAGUGAAACAUUUAGUGCAUGUUCAUGUCUUGGCUGGAUUUGGGAUGCAACAGAAUAACAAAGCUUUAUUACUGAGGAGAAGAGGUUUGGGGCUACCUCAAAUUUUUUUGUUAAAUAUGUAAAUUUCAAGAUAUUUCAAAUAUUAAAGACUGUGAUUGUUGACUUAUAAAAAUGGGCAAUGAUGACCCAAAUUGUUACCUACUUACAUCCAGGGUUGUUUUUUAAUGUAAAUUUAAAAAAAAUUUAUUGUUAUUUCCCCAAUACAUUUUUUUCCUACUGUACAGCAUGAUGACCCACCCAGUUUUUUAAUAUGAAUUUUAUAAGAACCAUGCAGUUAACAGACUAGCCCUUCCUUGGGAAAUAUCAGUUUUAUCCCAUCAUUUUUCAUUUCACUUUGUUUUUAGGGAGAGGAAAUGGAGCACGAUUUUACUGUUUCCUGACUCUUUGAUAAAUGCUCACAUGCUCCUCCAUUAUUUUGAUGAAGAGACAACUUUUAAAUGUACCUUUAUUUCCACUUUGGUUGCCUUUAUUCUGAAAUGAGAAAAGUCCUAAAAGAUGCUUUAGGACAAUUUUAUGCAAAUUUAGAAUUGAUGGG
rnacentral:lncRNA from 1 species